rnacentral:rRNA from 1 species
CUAGGGUAGCGAACGGGAUUAGAAACCCCGGUAGUCCUAGCCGUAAACGAUGGAUACUAGGUGUAGGAGGUUAAAAUUCCUUCUGUGCCGGAGCUAACGCGUUAAGUAUCCCGCCUGGGGAGUACGGUCGCAAGGCUAAAACUCAAAGGAAUUGACGGGGGCCCGCACAAGCAGCGGAGCGUGUGGUUUAAUUCGAUGCAACGCGAAGAACCUUACCAGGGCUUGACAUGUAGGUAGUAGUGAAGCGAAAGCGGAACGAUCCUUCGGGAAGCCUACACAGGUGCUGCACGGCUGUCGUCAGCUCGUGCCGUGAGGUGUUAGGUUAAGUCCUGUAACGAGCGCAACCCCUGCCGUUAGUUACAAGUGUCUAACGGGACUGCCCGGCAAAACUGGGAGGAAGGUGGGGAUGACGUCAAGUCAGCAUGGCCUUUAUGUCCUGGGCUACACACACGCUACAAUGGCCGGUACAAUGGGUUGCCAAGCCGCGAGGCGGAGCCAAUCCUCUAAAGCCGGUCUCAGUUCGAAUUGUAGGCUGCAACCCGCCUGCAUGAAGUUGGAGUUGCUAGUAACCGCAGGUCAGCCACACUGCGGUGAAUACGUUCCCGGGCCUUGUACACACCGCCCGUCACGUCAUGGAAGCUGGUAACACCUGAAGCCGGUGAGCUAACCGCAAGGAAGCAACCGUCGAAGGUGGGACUGGUGACUGGGACGAAGUCGUAACAAGGUAACC